rnacentral:rRNA from 1 species
GGCGUGCGGCGUCUUAAUACAUGCAGUCGAGCGAAUGGAUUAAGAGCUUGCUCUUAUGAAGUUAGCGGCGGACGGGUGAGUAACACGUGGGUAACCUGCCCAUAAGACUGGGAUAACUCCGGGAAACCGGGGCUAAUACCGGAUAACAUUUUGAACCGCAUGGUUCGAAAUUGAAAGGCGGCUUCGGCUGUCACUUAUGGAUGGACCCGCGUCGCAUUAGCUAGUUGGUGAGGUAACGGCUCACCAAGGCAACGAUGCGUAGCCGACCUGAGAGGGUGAUCGGCCACACUGGGACUGAGACACGGCCCAGACUCCUACGGGAGGCAGCAGUAGGGAAUCUUCCGCAAUGGACGAAAGUCUGACGGAGCAACGCCGCGUGAGUGAUGAAGGCUUUCGGGUCGUAAAACUCUGUUGUUAGGGAAGAACAAGUGCUAGUUGAAUAAGCUGGCACCUUGACGGUACCUAACCAGAAAGCCACGGCUAACUACGUGCCAGCAGCCGCGGUAAUACGUAGGUGGCAAGCGUUAUCCGGAAUUAUUGGGCGUAAAGCGCGCGCAGGUGGUUUCUUAAGUCUGAUGUGAAAGCCCACGGCUCAACCGUGGAGGGUCAUUGGAAACUGGGAGACUUGAGUGCAGAAGAGGAAAGUGGAAUUCCAUGUGUAGCGGUGAAAUGCGUAGAGAUAUGGAGGAACACCAGUGGCGAAGGCGACUUUCUGGUCUGUAACUGACACUGAGGCGCGUAAUGCUGGCCC